AAACCGUUGAAAGGGAAGCGAAUGGAGUUAGCAAUUCGCCUCGCCAGAUUCAGUUUUUCGCCUCCCGAGACGCGCGUCAUCUCGAUCUCUGUAGACGAGUGGCGUGCGGACGCGGGACGUGAGAGGCGCACUUCUGGCGGGCGAGCGUCAACGUCGGUCUUCGACGAGCUAUAAGGUCGAGAGGAAGGUAGACUGGCCUUCGGGUCGGUUGUUAAGCCUCUCGAACGCAUGGCUCGUCGGAGACCGUGGCAACUUAGUCGCGACGCGUGCCUCCCUUCGGGGUGGGCUGGUGUCCCGUUUUGCUUGUGCGGUUGUCGACCGUGGCGGACGGCACGCCUGUGCGCUCGAACCGCUGCCGUACAACAUUUCGGUGACACACACCACGCGUCUAGGACGUUGACGACCAUACGGCUCUAUCCGACCCGUCUUGAAACACGGACCAAGGAGUCUAACAUGUGCGCAAGUCUCUGGGUGAUCGAAACCCGUGGGCGAAAUGAAAGUAAAGGCAGCUUCUGCUGCUGAGGUGAGAAGCGUCGGCCUCGCGCCGGCGCCGCAUCAUCGACCGACCUAUUCUACUCCUAGAACGGUUUGAGUAAGAGCGUAUCUGUUGGGACCCGAAAGAUGGUGAACUAUGCCUGAAUAGGGUGAAGCCAGCGG
rnacentral:rRNA from 1 species